GUGGGGAAUCUUAGACAAUGGGGGAAACCCUGAUCUAGCCAUGCCGCGUGAGCGAUGAAGGCCUUAGGGUUGUAAAGCUCUUUCAGCUGGGAAGAUAAUGACGGUACCAGCAGAAGAAGCCCCGGCUAACUCCGUGCCAGCAGCCGCGGUAAUACGGAGGGGGCUAGCGUUGUUCGGAAUUACUGGGCGUAAAGCGCGCGUAGGCGGACCAGAAAGUUGGAGGUGAAAUCCCAGGGCUCAACCUGGGAACUGCCUUCAAAACUCCUGGUCUGGAGUUCGAGAGAGGGGAGUGGAAUUCCGAGUGUAGAGGUGAAAUUCGUAGAUAUUCGGAGGAACACCAGUGGCGAAGGCGGCUCACUGGCUCGAUACUGACGCUGAGGUGCGAAAGCGUGGGGAGCAAACAGGAUUAGAAACCCCACUAGUCC
rnacentral:rRNA from 1 species